CCUACGGGGGGCUGCAGUGGGGAAUAUUGGACAAUGGGCGAAAGCCUGAUCCAGCCAUGCCGCGUGUGUGAAGAAGGCCUUCGGGUUGUAAAGCACUUUCAGUGGGGAAGAAAGCCUUGGGGCUAAUACCCUCGAGGAAGGACAUCACCAACAGAAGAAGCACCGGCUAACUCCGUGCCAGCAGCCGCGGUAAUACGGAGGGUGCGAGCGUUAAUCGGAAUUACUGGGCGUAAAGCGCGCGUAGGCGGUCUGAUAAGCCGGUUGUGAAAGCCCCGGGCUCAACCUGGGAACGGCAUCCGGAACUGUCAGGCUAGAGUGCAGGAGAGGAAGGUAGAAUUCCCGGUGUAGCAGUGAAAUGCGUAGAGAUCGGGAGGAAUACCAGUGGCGAAGGCGGCCUUCUGGACUGACACUGACGCUGAGGUGCGAAAGCGUGGGUAGCAAACAGGAUUAGAUACCCGAGUAGUC
rnacentral:rRNA from 1 species